rnacentral:lncRNA from 1 species
CCUGUCUUUUGGCUUGUAGGAUUGCCCUUUGUGUUCAUUUUCACGUGAUGUCUCCCAGACCAAACUCCUGGAGGAAAGCAGCUGAGGUCUUGAGCUCCACCCUUCAUGCGUAUCCCCUGCCUGUGGCCUAUUGUCUGUCUCCUUUCAGCACCAACGGCAAAGACAUUUUAUCCUGUCUCUUGAGCUAGAAUUGGCAUGUUUUCUUCUCGAAAUUUUUGCCUUGGCCUAGAAUUUUGGACUCUGUUUAGAAUUCCAAAUUGAAAAUAAGUCAGGAGAUCACUGACAAGCUUAGCUGAGUCGGGCAUGAGGCCAUUUCUGAGGCACGUGGGUCUAUUUCACAAUAAUAUGCCAUUAAUGACAUGGACAAGGUCAUCAAACAUUUUAUGGAUGAAACAGCUUUCUCAAACUGCUCUCACGUCUGACUUCUCCCAGUCGUCUACUCAGAGAGGACAAGCCAACUCCGUCUGUUUAUCCUCCCGGGACCCAGCCAGUGCCGCCAUUCCUAUAACUGCUUCUGAACAUCCCAGAUGGGAGGGCCUGAAAGGGGACCCUUCUCCUCAUCAAAACUGCCCACAGCGUGGCAGAAGCUAUGGUCCAUGGCUGCUCUGGCAAUUCAGAAGAGCCCCUUCAGUGUCCACCUGGAGCAAACUACCCAUAAAAAGGUUCCGAGCCACUCAGAAUCCAGAAUCAGGUUUGUCAAGAUGACGGAGCACCAAGGACAAGUCCCAAGCACAUGGCCUGAACGAGUGAGACUGAGAUGCCAAGUCGGGUUCGAGGAGUUGGGAAGAGGGGAGAGAAAGGGUGGAAGAGGGAAGAUGGAAAGAAAGAGGAGCCCAGAGCUCAGAGGAGUGAAAGGUACACCUGGCCCCAAGGGAAGCCUACUGUCUCCAUUUCUUAGCGUGCGAAGACCGCCUACGGUGUGGUUCUAAACCUGUAUCC